GAAAAGUUAGUUAAAAAUAACAUAAAAUUGUCAAUUUUAAAUUACUACCCAACUAGUACUUUUCU
rnacentral:tRNA from 1 species